rnacentral:lncRNA from 1 species
CCCUGAAGAGGUUCUUAAAACACGCCAGGACUCCCUCUCGGAGUCACAGAAUCAGAACUGGGGAAGGGGUGCAUCCUUAGAAACUGCAUUUUAGAAAAAAUUCCCAGGUUAUUCUUAACUGGGGGAACCUGUACGUUUGCAAAGCAUGACCUUAAAGGGCCUUCUCCGGAUGCCUUUGCACCUGCUCCCCACCUGUGCAGUGACAAAACUGCCACCCGCUUCACAUCUGGGAUUCUCAUUUCCAAUUAAAGGGCAGGAAACUGAAGUCCAGGGAGCGGCAGUCACUCACCAGGACCACACAGGGAGCCAGCGGCCCCGUCCCCCAGCUCUGGGGCAGGUGCGAGAGCAGGAAGGAGGCUCUGUGCCGUCGGAGACCUGUGCCUGCACUUCACACGUCAAGGGCUCUGCAAGGGCUCCUCUCUGGGCAUCCUUGGCCAAGCCAUGCUCCCCAUCUGCCUCUCUCUGCUCCCGUUUGUUGAUUUCCCUGGAGGUCUCCACACGGUGCAGACAAAUGCCUCUAAGACUUUAACCCCAACGCACAGUCCAGGGAAAGAAGAGUAAGCAAAGCCUCGGUGACAGGAAGAUCCAGCUGUCAGAUCCUUCGCCGUCCACUGAGCCUCAGAUGCAGGACCUGGAGCGAGGACUCUGUCUGCAGCCAUGCUGGACCAGAGGAACGCGUGCAGCCUGCCUGAGCCCUCUUGGUCCACGGUGUUCAAAACACGUCGGAUCUAAGAAGGGAGAGAUUCCAGAUGGAAAUGCAUGGGGGGUGUCCCGGCCCCAGACAAACGGAGUGGGGUCAGGCCGAGGGAGAGAUGGCCAGACGGGGGCCUGCGAGGGCACUGAGUGCAGUUGCUACAGGCAGGAGCUGGGUGGAGGCUGGGGGCUGUCCAAGGGGCCAGCAGGUGGGCCUGGUGGUCUGCAUGAGUUAGGGAUCCUGAGGGCACAGCAGACUCAACCAUCGGUGCAACCUCCCGUGGGAAGGACAGACCAGGUGGCAGUGUGUGAAAUGUCCUUAGGCCUCCCCUCCUCCGCCCACCCCAGCAGCUUAGAACUGAACACUUUGAUGCUGUUGAACCAGCAAUGCUGUUUGUUGAGUCUCUGAU